UGAAAACACUGUGGGAUUAAAUUAUUUUACAAGCGACCAGACUUCUCUUUCCUGUGCACAAACUUUGAUUUCUAACACUUAAGUUAUUCCCUUGAAUUAGGGAAAGAAAUUAAAUCUAUGAUGGGUUGUUAUUCCAGGUUGUCCUCUUUAGCCAAACUGCAAUGCUGGAUGUAGUCUGGUAUACAAAUUUUCAUGAUUAAUGGAGUCAAACAACAAUAAUUUAAUAUUUUGGCUAUCUAAUUUAUAUUGUAGUAAAUUUAAAAGUUUCAUGAUUGAAAUAACACAUUUUUUUUCAUUUUCAUUAAAUUUUAAUUAUAUAGCUCCUGUUCACAAAAGUAGGGCUCUCGAGGUAUUUAGCUUAACCCCACAGACAACACACACAACUCACUCAGAGCAAGCUCUGAGUGAAGGUGGGGAGAAAGAAUAACCUUUUAACAGGAAGAGACCUCCAGCAGGGCCAAGCUCAGGGAGGGGUAGUGCUCUAUCAAGGCCAGUACUGCUUUGAGGCGAAAGAGAUGACAGAAAAGAGGAGUUUCAACAAUUUUUUGUUCCAUACAGUCAUUUAGGAAACAUUCUUGUAACUUCUUUAUUUCAACAUAUGAUAUGUAGCAUCUUUCUCUGCACAACAAUAGAAUGACAAUGUUGAGGAAUAUUUCAGCUUCUUCUUUAGCUGCUCUGCUCUUAAAAAUGGCUUCAACACCAUUUUUGAUGGAAUGUCCAGUUUGUCCAUUCUAAACUGCAUGUUCAUUGCUUUGCACAGUCCUCCCUAAUGAAAUACCAACACAGUAUUUACAGUACACAGUGGUCAGUAUGCUCAUUAAAAGCUACAUUGCAUAGGGAAUUAAGGAAAGCAGUAACAAAAAAAGUGUAUAAAUAACAGUUCAAUUCAGCACACUAGAAAAUAAAAAUAAGACCUUUGAUUGUUGUCAAAAUAUGUAGGUCCGUUUGUAUUUCCCAGUCCUCUGUACUUAUGUGUGCAGGAGUUAACUUGAGGUAUCAGGGGCUAGUAGAAGUAAAUGUAAGGAGCUCCACGCUGCAGUGUUAGCUUGAGAGCUGAGGUACAAUUCAGCUGUGAGACAGGUCACUACAGGUCUUUGUGGUUGAUUGACAGCCUACAGCUUAGGGUCAUCGUCCUUCAAACUAGCGCCGUCUGUGAACGCCUCAUCUCCUUCCGCAGCUCAUCUCGGCUGAGCAGAUACUGGGGGCAGAGCAUCAUGGGAGUGGCAAUGGGUUAGAAAGAUUAGAAGUUAGUGUUUGCUUCUGAGCUGGGGGUUACCAUGGUGAUGAUCAUCAGCCAUCUUGGCUCAGACCGCUCAGCCGAAGGGGGGAAACGUGGCGUCAUACACAGCAAUGACAGCCACUGUGAUGGUGAGAAUGGAGAUGAUGAUGAUGAUGGAAGCAGGUUAGUGCUUGAUGCAGGUUAUUAAGGCAUGCUGCUGCUCGUGGCUGCGCCUAGCAGCAUAGUCUGUUACUUUAUCUUACAGAAAUACAGAAUAUGCUUCCUGAGGAAUUCAGUGUUUUCCACAUAAAGUCGCCUAACUCUUAGUUUGAGAGUUCCACCACAUUAACAAGCAGCAUGCUUUGACAUCGGCAGGGUGGCCGGGUCAUUGUUGCUGCUAUCUUGAUGUCAAUGAGCUAUUCUCCAGUCAGUCUCUUCUUCCCCCGGUGAACAGAUUCCAACUCCACCACCUUGGACUGCUGGUAAAGGUAAUCCCUGUUCUUCACUGGAAAACUGCUGUCAACUGGAACUUGAAGCAGAGGGACAGCUGGUUCUGGUUACUAACCUGAACUUACUGCGGUUAUAUGCAACAAGCCAGAAAUGCCAAAUAUCACUUUGUGAACUGAUGAUGUUACAGAGCAAAACAAGAGCAUGUGGUAAAUUUUGAGUCCUUACAUAGAAUGAGAAAUUGAC
ensembl:lncRNA